ensembl:snoRNA SNORD53 small nucleolar RNA, C/D box 53
AUGUUAUGAUGACAUCCAUAUGCUUUCAUUUCUGGCUGAGUUUCCGAGAUGACACCUUUCCGUUGGCUGAGCAU